rnacentral:ncRNA from 1 species
CGCAUCUUGUCGGAGUGCAUGUAGCUGAGAUCGCUGCGUUUUCAGACUUCCAUUGGGAGUUAUUUGCAGCAAAUCCGUUGAACCUGCCCGGGGUAAUACCUGCGAAGGGAACAAGAAAAGAGAUUAU